GACGAACGCUGGCGGCGUGCUUAACACAUGCAAGUCGAACGAAGUGGCGAACGGGUGAGUAACGCGUAAUCAACCUGCCCUUCAGGGGGGGACAACAGUUGGAAACGACUGCUAAUACCGCAUACGGAAGGAGGGGAUUGCGUCUGAUUAGCUAGUUGGAGGGGUAAAGGCCCACCAAGGCGAUGAUCAGUAGGCGGUCUGAGGGGAUGGACGGGCACAAUGGGACUGAGACACGGCCCAAGCUUCUACGGGAGGGAGCAGUGGGGAAACUUUCGCAAUGGACGAAAGUCUGACGGAGCAACGCCGGGUGAUUGAUGACGGCCUUCGGGUUGUAAAGCUCUGUUAAUCGGGACGCGGUACCGGAAUAGAAAGCCCCGGCUAACUACGUGCCAGCAGCCGCGGUAAUAC
rnacentral:rRNA from 1 species